rnacentral:rRNA from 1 species
UACAGAGGGGGCAAGCGUUGUUCGGAAUUACUGGGCGUAAAGGGCGCGUAGGCGGCCUUCUAAGUCGAACGUGAAAUCCCUGGGCUCAACCCAGGAACUGCGUCCGAUACUGGAAGGCUUGAAUCCGGGAGAGGGAUGCGGAAUUCCAGGUGUAGUGGUGGAAUGCGUAGAGAUCCGGAGGAACACCAGCGGCGAAGGCGGCAUCCUGGACUGGUCCUGACACUCAGGAGCGAAAGCGUGGGGAGCGAUCCGG